rnacentral:rRNA from 1 species
UACGAAGGGGGCUAGCGUUGUUCGGAUUUACUGGGCGUAAAGCGCACGUAGGCGGUUUGUUAAGUGAGAGGUGAAAUCCCAGAGCUCAACUCUGGAACUGCCUUUCAUACUGGCAAGCUAGAGUCCGGAAGAGGUAAGUGGAACUCCUAGUGUAGAGGUGGAAUUCGUAGAUAUUAGGAAGAACACCAGUGGCGAAGGCGGCUUACUGGUCCGGAACUGACGCUGAGGUGCGAAAGCGUGGGAGCAAACAGG